rnacentral:rRNA from 1 species
AGCCUGAGAAACGGCUACCACAUCUACGGAAGGCAGCAGGCGCGUAAAUUACCCAAUCCCAAUUCGGGGAGGUAGUGACAAGAAAUAACAACUCGGGCGGCGCAAGCCGUUGCGAGAUUGCAAUGGGUACAAUUUAAAACACUUAACGAGUAACAAUUGGAGGGCAAGUCUGGUGCCAGCAGCCGCGGUAAUUCCAGCUCCAAUAGCGUAUAUUAAAGUUGUUGCAGUUAAAAAGCUCGUAGUCGAAGUUCUGGCUGGCCCUGUUUCCGGCUCCGGUCGACUCAGGGCCUAGUCAUCCGUCGGAGAACCCUUGUCGUCCUUGACUGGUCGCUUGGGGGAACUGACCCUUUACUUUGAAAAAAUUAGAGUGUUUCAGGCAGGCUCUCGCCCGAAUACUCCAGCAUGGAAUAAUGGAAUAGGACUUUCUUCUAUUUUGUUGGUUAGUAGUGGAAAGUAAUGAUUAAUAGGGACAGUUGGGGGCAUUCGUACUUAAUUGUCAGAGGUGAAAUUCUUGGAUUUAUUAAAGACGAACUAAUGCGAAAGCAUUUGCCAAGGAUGUUUUCAA